rnacentral:rRNA from 1 species
UACGGAGGGUGCAAGCGUUAUCCGGAUUCACUGGGUUUAAAGGGUGCGUAGGAGGGCAGGUAAGUCAGUGGUGAAAUCUUCGAGCUUAACUCGGAAACUGCCGUUGAUACUAUCUGUCUUGAAUACCGUGGAGAUGAGCGGAAUAUGUCAUGUAGCGGUGAAAUGCUUAGAUAUGACAUAGAACACCAAUUGCGAAGGCAGCUCGUUACACGAAUAUUGACUCUGAGGCACGAAAGCGUGGGGAUCAAACAGGAUUAGAAACCCCCGUAGUCC